UUACAGAUCAGACCGAAGGGAUCCUGGAGUCACUUUGUCUGUUACAGACCUGCAGGUGAAGGUGACCACUACAUGGUGGUCAACGACACUGACCUGUAGCACCACCUGUACUCUGACUGACAACCCCAACCCCACCUACAUCUGGUACAGGAACAGUAAGAUUGUACAAGAGGACUCCUCCCCCUCAUACUCAGUCUACUUAAAAACUGAAGACAGCUUCUACUGUGCUGUAAAAGGCAUCAAUUCUCCUGCAGUGUCUGUUGGGGGUCACAGUUAUUUCCACGUGACUUACACCCAUCAGAGUAUCUGUACUUUGAAGGGGUCAUCUGUGGACAUAUCCUGCUCUU